CCGUGCUAAGCGGGGAGGUAGCGGUGCCCUGUACUCGCAAUCCGCUCUAGCGAGGCUGAACCCCUUCCCGAGGCUGGUGUCCUGUAGGGCCUGCCUUAAGUAAGUGGUGUUGACGCCCGGGUCCUGCGCAAUGGGAAUCCAUGAACCAUGUCAGGUCCGGAAGGAAGCAGCAUUAAGUGGUCCCUCCCAUGUGCCGCAGGGUUGCCUGGGCCGAGCUAACUGCUUAAGUAACGCUUAUGGGAGCCAGUCGACGGAAGGUGCACGG
rfam:Bacillus infantis NRRL B-14911, complete genome.